AUUGAACGCUGGCGGCAGGCUUAACACAUGCAAGUCGAACGGUAACAUAAGAAAAGCUUGCUUUUUUUGAUGACGAGUGGCGGACGGGUGAGUAAUGCUUGGGAAUCUGCCUUAUGGAGGGGGAUAACUACGGGAAACUGUAGCUAAUACCGCAUAAUAUCUACGGAUUAAAGUGUGGGAUCUUCGGACCACAUGCCAUAAGAUGAGCCCAAGUGAGAUUAGGUAGUUGGUGAGGUAAAGGCUCACCAAGCUGACGAUCUCUAGCUGGUUUGAGAGGAUGACCAGCCACACUGGGACUGAGACACGGCCCAGACUCCUACGGGAGGCAGCAGUGGGGAAUAUUGCACAAUGGGCGCAAGCCUGAUGCAGCCAUGCCGCGUGAAUGAAGAAGGCUUUCGGGUUGUAAAGUUCUUUCAUUAGUGAGAAAGGUAUAAAUGUUAAUAGCAUUUGUAAUUGAUGUUAGCUAAAGAAGAAGCACCGGCUAACUCCGUGCCAGCAGCCGCGGUAAUACGGAGGGUGCGAGCGUUAAUCGGAAUAACUGGGCGUAAAGGGCAUGCAGGCGGUUACUUAAGUCAGAUGUGAAAGCCCCGAGCUUAACUUGGGAAUUGCAUUUGAAACUGGGUGACUAGAGUCCUCUAGGGAGGGGUAGAAUUCCACGUGUAGCGGUGAAAUGCGUAGAGAUGUGGAGGAAUACCGAAGCGAAGCAGCCCCUUGGAGAGAGACUGACGCUCAUAUGCGAAAGCGUGGGUAGCAAACAGG
rnacentral:rRNA from 1 species